AUGAGUGGAGGAUCUCAAGUCCACAUUUUUUGGGGUGCUCCAGUUGCUCCACUGAAAAUGACAGUAUCAGAAGACACAGCUUCUUUAAUGUCUGUUGCUGACCCCUGGAAAAAAAUUCAGCUUUUAUACAGUCAACAUUCUUUAUAUCUGAAGGAUGAAAAACAGCACAAAAAUCUUGAAAACUAUGAAGUCCCAGAUUCUAUUGGUUCUCCAGAUCUUUGUGGUCAUUUCUUAGCAAACUGUAUGAAUAGACAUGUUCAUGUGAAAGAUGACUUUGUACGUUCUGUUUCUGAAACACAGAAUAUAGAAUCCCAGAAGAUUCACUCCUCUAGACUGAGUGGCAUAACUAGCUCUAAUAUGCAAAUAUGUGGAUUUAAAAGCACAGUUCCGCAUUUAACCGAAGAAGAAAAGUAUCAAAGCUUCUCAGUGAAAAUAAAAUUAGAGAUGAACAGCCUAAACAUCAGCCAGAUAUAUGUGGUCAGAACUUUAACACAAAUUUGUUUCAGUUGGGCCAUAAAUGUGCAGCUGUGUUGGAUUUGGUUUGUAGUACUGAAAAAAUUAAUAUAGGGCCUGAAGUGGUACAAAGAGAGUGUGUGCCAACAGAAUAUCAUGAAAUACAAAACCAGCGUUUGGGAUUAUUUUCCUCGAACUCAGUAGAUAAGUCAAGGUCUGAAGCAGCAGUUAAGAAGGUCUCAGACCUUAAAAUAUCAACUGAUAAAGAAUUUCUCAGUAUAAUUACCUCCAGCCAGGUUGCUUUUUUUAGCUCAAAAGAAAGAUAAAAGGCGGAGUCCUGUAAAUAAAGGGAAUGUAAACAUGGAGACUGAACCAAAGGCAAGUUACGGGGAGAUAAGAAUACCUGAAGAGAAUUCGAUUCAGCUUGAUGGUUUUACAGAAGCAUAUGAAAGUGGACAAAACCAAGCAUAUUCCCUUGAACUUUUUAGUCCUGUUUGUCCUAAAACAGAAAAUAGCCGCAUUCACAUAAACUCUGAUAAAGGUCUUGAAGAACAUACAGGAUCUCAAGAACUUUUCAGUUCUGAAGAUGAACUGCCACCAAAUGAGAUACGUAUUGAGUUGUGUAGCUCAGGAAUACUGUGUUCCCAACUAAAUACCUUCCACAAAAGUGCUAUUAAAAGAAGCUGUACCUCUGAAGAUAAAGUGGCCCAGUCUGAAGCUCUAUCUAGAGUCCUUCAAGUAGCUAAGAAAAUGAAGUUGAUUUCUAAUGGAGGAGAUUCUGCUGUAGAAAUGGAUCGGAGAAAUGUGUCUGAAUUUAAGAGUAUUAAAAAAAUCAUUAAUAAAAAACUGUGAUUCUAAAAGCCAGAAGUAUAAUUGUUUAGUCAUGGUGCUAUCUCCAUGCCAUGUGAAGGAAAUAAACAUAAAAUUCGGACCAAAUUCUGGCUCUAAAGUGCCUUUAGCAACAGUUACAGUAAGUGAUCAAUCAGAAACUAAGAAGAAGGUUUUUCUGUGGAGGACUGCAGCAUUUUGGGCAUUUACAGUGUUUCUUGGAGAUAUAAUUUUACUCACGGAUGUUGUUAUUCAUGAGGACCAAUGGAUUGGUGAGACAGUACUACAAUCAACAUUUAGCAGUCAGUUAUUAAAUCUUGGGAGUUAUUCAUCUAUUCAGCCUGAAGAAU
rnacentral:lncRNA from 1 species